UUGUCUUCUCCGUUCCCUUAGCCGCCACAACCGCCGCUUCCGAUUCGGGCGAUUCCGGCGGCAAGCGCCGGCGUGGAGCACACCACCGAGCUCGCCUCGCUCGGAUCCAUCCUCCCCUCCAGUAAAUUUCCCCUCUCGGCCUCGACCGCUCGCCCAAAAUCCACGCCCGUGCUAGGGCUUGGCCCUCCGGCACCGGCUUCGUUGUCAGCGCAUCUCCGGCGGUCUCUGACGGCUCUUCUCCGUCGUCUACUGCGCGCCCUCGAUUCUUGAUGGUCCACCUUGAGAAAGGCAUCAUGGAGGACCUCCUCCUGCAGGAUCCACGGACACGGCGCAUCCUGCAGCCGCCGAUCCGGGAUGAGGGCGGGCAUGGCGGCCUUGUCCUGCUCGACGGCAGUGGCGGCGAACACCGGUGCUCCUCCUUGUCAUCGACCUCCAAGGAGGAGCGCCAGUACAGCACAAGCACGCCCCUGUACCCCCUUCUCCCAUCCAGCGGUGUACAGGAUGUCCUCCUCGACAUGGCCGUCCCCAACAGGCUGUCUUUGCUGGAUUAGGUGGAGCAGCAAGUCCAGCACCCUCUUGGCCCCAACCUCAUAUCCUCUAGUGUGUGGAUGAGCUCACCGACGGCUACGUCCUUCGCUCCUAGCGUGAUGCUGGUUUUUGGGAGCAUUUUCAACAAGACAUGGUUGUUGACUUAGGCAUGGACGUUCGGAUCAGUUGCCGAAAAUGCCAGAUGACCUAGUGUUGAUGUUUAAUGGUUAAUGCCUGAUGAGAGCGGGGCCUUGUUUGAUGGGGGAGGCGCUGGCACAGUGUUCUCUGAGACAUACUUGUAAAAUUAACAUUUUUUUGGAUCUUCUAUUUUUGCUCCUGUACAUGUGUAUUUUAAGAUGUGUUUAUGUAAUCUUCUUUCUUUUAUUGACAUGAGCAUAUAUUUGUGCCAAAUUCUUGAAUUUUCAUGUGCCAAAAGAAA